GGUUUUUCUGUGCUGAACCUCAGGGGACGCCGACACACGUACACGUCCCUUCGAUAGCUCAGCUGGUAGAGCGGAGGACUGUAGCUACUUCCUCAGCAGGAGACAUCCUUAGGUCGCUGGUUCGAUUCCGGCUCGAAGGAGACAAGUGCGGUUUUUUUCUCCAGCUCCCGAUGACUUAUGGCACUUUCCUUGGGUGCCUUCAGUGACACAUUGCAUUCCAACGAGCAGUUUGAAAGUCUAGCGCUUUCUCCCCAUUUUGGGCCUCCCAGCCUGCACGAUGUCUGCAUUUCCAGGGACUCAUCUGAGGCUAAGCUGCCCAUAGUUCGGGGAGACCCACAGGGAAAACAAAACAAGAAACAGAGAACUUGGAAACGGACGCUGAUUACUUUGAACGUUUGCUCAACCGAGGAAGCAGGAACUGUUCGGCCCCAUCUCAAGUCCGCAGGGCGGACUGCCUGGCUCUGGGCAGAUCCGAGGUGGAUAGGACAAGGCAAAAGGUAGCCCUGGAGAGGUGAGUGGAUAAAGUCCCUGGACACAGGGGCUGCCGUUGGAGGAGGUUGUAAUGUCAUUGUCCUCCUGUGGAAGUUAACUGUGGAGAAUUAACUAGAGACCAGCGCUGAGAGAGAAUUAAUUGGAUAAAAGUUCUAUCUAGGACAGUCCUUGAGCGUAAUUUUGUGAAGCAAACACAAGACAACAACAAAACGAGUAAAACCUAAACACACAUCCACACACUCACUGAAAGAUUCAGAGAUUGCACAGAACACAAAGACUUUUCUGGUAAUAAAAUCUCCCUAUCCUAAUUUUCUAGAAAAAAAGCUGUUGAAGCCACCGCGCAGUUCUUACAAGACAUAACACAAAUCUUCCACACAAAGGCAGAAAUACAGUAUCAACCUUUGUGAGGAGUACAGCAAAUAAAUGAUGUUUCUUUAG
ensembl:lncRNA novel transcript